CGGGGUGUGGCCUAGCCCGGUUCAAGGCGCCACUCUGGGGGAGUGGAGAUUCGAGGGUUCAAAUCCCUCCACCCCGA
rnacentral:tRNA from 1 species